UACGUAGGGGGCAAGCGUUGUCCGGAUUUAUUGGGCGUAAAGAGCGUGUAGGCGGCCAGACAAGUCUGCUGUGAAAACUCGAGGCUCAACCUCGAGCUGUCGGUGGAAACUGCAGGGCUAGAGUCCGGAAGAGGCGAGUGGAAUUCCGGGUGUAGCGGUGGAAUGCGUAGAGAUCCGGAGGAAGACCGGUGGCGAAGGCGGUCUGCU
rnacentral:rRNA from 1 species